rnacentral:rRNA from 1 species
AGUGAACGCUGGCGGUAGGCCUAACACAUGCAAGUCGAACGGCAGCACAGUAAGAGCUUGCUCUUACGGGUGGCGAGUGGCGGACGGGUGAGGAAUACAUCGGAAUCUACUUUUUCGUGGGGGAUAACGUAGGGAAACUUACGCUAAUACCGCAUACGACCUACGGGUGAAAGCAGGGGAUCUUCGGACCUUGCGCGAUUGAAUGAGCCGAUGUCGGAUUAGCUAGUUGGCGGGGUAAAGGCCCACCAAGGCGACGAUCCGUAGCUGGUCUGAGAGGAUGAACAGCCACACGGGAACUGAGACACGGUCCAGACUCCUACGGGAGGCAGCAGUGGGGAGUAUUGGACAAUGGGCGCAAGCCGGAUCCAGCCAUACCGCGUGGGUGAAGAAGGACUUCGGGUUGUAAAGCCCUUUUGUUGGGAAAGAAAAGCAGCAGCUUAAUACCCCGCUGUUCUGACGGUACCCAAAGAAUAAGCACCGGCUAACUUCGUG